rnacentral:lncRNA from 1 species
UAUGAUAUGUUUUUGAAUAAUCUAUUUUAAUAUCGAAAAGGAAGAGAAGUAUUUUCAAGACUAUAUUAUUCAAAUUUUUGAAUUGAGAAGUAUGUUUGCAUCUAUGUUUUUGAGGAAAAAAAGAAGUCUUGAUUUGAAUUUAUAAGUUAAACCCAUAUUGUAUUUUUGCAAAAGGGAGAGAAAACAUUUAAGAAGAAAAUAUGUUCUUAAAAGACUAUUUGAUUGAAAAUGCCUUGACUUGUAAAACAAAGGGGGAGAAAAAUGUUAUGCUUAAAUAUGCACAAUUUGAAAGA